rnacentral:rRNA from 1 species
AUGAACGCUGGCGGCGUGCCUAAUACCUGCAAGUCGAGCGAACGGACGAGAAGCUUGCUUCUCUGAUGUUAGCGGCGGACGGGUGAGUAACACGUGGAUAACCUACCUAUAAGACUGGGAUAACUUCGGGAAACCGUAGCUAAUACCGGAUAAUAUUUUGAACCGCAUGGUUCAAAAGUGAAAGACGGUCUUGCUGUCACUUAUAGAUGGAUCCGCGCUGCAUUAGCUAGUUGGUAAGGUAACGGCUUACCAAGGCAACGAUGCAUAGCCGACCUGAGAGGGUGAUCGGCCACACUGGAACUGAGACACGGUCCAGACUCCUACGGGAGGCAGCAGUAGGGAAUCUUCCGCAAUGGGCGAAAGCCCGACGGAGCAACGCCGCGUGAGUGAUGAAGGUCUUCGGAUCGUAAAACUCUGUUAUUAGGGAAGAACAUAUGUGUAAGUAACUGUGCACAUCUUGACGGUACCUAAUCAGAAAGCCACGGCUAACUACGUG